rnacentral:ncRNA from 1 species
UUAAAAGCUAUGACUGGGACUAGUAAAUUCAUGAUUGUUAUUAGAGAGGGAAGUCCAAAGGCUGCAAGUCUUCCUUAACAUAGUGAAUUGAAGACCACCCAAAAGCUCCAUCCUGAAUUCAGUAGGGAGAGGCGUUCGCAGCGUUAAUGCAUUAAGUGGGCUUUGCCAAUUUGGGUGGAACCGCGGGAUUUAAUCUCGUCCCUUUG